UUAUACACAGUUAUUUAUCAUUUUCUAUUAAUUCAGUUGUAGCCACUACAAUAUCUAUGACACUGGUAGUAAUUAUAAGAACAAUAAUGAUGUUCUAUAAGAGGAAAUGAUGAUUAGGAACAAAAACUUACAGAAGAUAUCAUGCGGUGGAUGGAUAAUAUGCAAAAAAUAUUAAGCAGUAUAUGAAUUUUCCUAUUGCGUAGAGAUAACAAAAUGAAUUUUAAAAAAUGUCGACACGGUAAUAAGAAAUAGCAUCAUGACAAAGAAUAUAUAAAGACAGUUUCAUUUUUUAUAAAUAAAAAUUUGUUGUUCCAGAUUUUGAAAUACAGUGAAACGUUUAAUUAGUAUCUUAAUAUCUUUAAAUAAUUAUUAUUUUAGAAUCAAUUGUAAUUGUAUCAUACGUACUUUUGAAUUCGUGCAAGAACAUAUGUAAUUUUGAAGUAGUUAUUAUUAGGAAACUGUUAGACGCGAACAGUAUGCGAAAAGUUAGUAUGCAGUGUAAUAAUUAUCAAUCAAAACACAAGAAUUAAAUUCUUGAGGAAAAAAUUUCCGGAAUUUCUUAUUUACAUGAUUAUAGAGAAAUCCAUAAUAAAAAGGAGCUGCUUUCUAAUACUUCGCUUCCUUGUAAUGCCUACGUUAACAAUAAUGAGGUUCGACUUUUUGUUUUUAGAGGGAUACUGGAAAAUUUGAAAGUACAGUACCAUUGGGAAGAAAAUCACGAUAUUGAAAACGAUAUUUGCAAAUUGAACAAUAUUCCAGAUUUAUUCAUAAUUUCAUACUACGCGAAGAAUAGACUUUCAUAGGUAUAUAAAGGAAAUAUUAAGUAUAGGAAAACUCUUUUUCGUUGUAGGUGACAUAUGCUUCACGGUUGAACACAUGUAUUUUUGAACACAUAUAAAUGAAAAAGUACUCUUAUGGAGAAAAAGAAUUGAUACCUUCGAUUGACAUUAGAUAAUGUAUAUAAACUUAUGAACAAUCA